CCCAGAUACCCUUUUCUCAUCCUUUGAGUUCAACAGAUGUCUCUUCUGGUUGCAAGUGACAGAAGCCCACACAGAAAAGGCUCAGACCAAAGAGAAAUUUAUGGGCUCCUGAAACCCCUCACAGUCUCAGACAGGAUUCUUUCAAGAAUUGCAAACUUGGCUGAAGACCUUCCUGUCCCCUUUCUUACCUCCCAUGUACAGGAUGGGGGUGAUGAUCCCACUUCUCUGACUCUCACCCAGAAGUUAGGAACUCCUUAAG
rnacentral:lncRNA from 10 species